GGGUGUGUAGCUCAGUGGUAGAGCAUUUGACUGCAGAAUAAAAGCAAGAAUUGCGGGGUGGCGGUGGUAGUGGUACAUACCCU
rnacentral:tRNA from 1 species